rnacentral:tRNA from 1 species
UUAAAUAUAGUUUAACUUUAAAACAUUAUAUUUUCAUUAUAAAAAUAAUUUCUUUAAAUUUAUUUAAA